GCUGGUGUUAAGUGAUGACUGAAUUCUUUCCCCGACAGAGCGACAGUGUUGAUUUCUCACUGUUCAAGCCAGUUCAUGUCUGAUAUACCAGC
rfam:Egretta garzetta contig80163, whole genome shotgun sequence.